rnacentral:lncRNA from 1 species
UUUUACCAAAACAUUUAUAUUAAAUUAAGGUUUUGAAUAAUUAAGUGAGGCCAAUAGACCCCAUAUUUGCUUUGUGAUUACGCCAUUGGGUCAGAGAAACGGCUCUUGCUCUGAUGUUUGACAGCCGUGUCUCCCCCUAUCUAGUAAGAUAAGUGGCCCUAUGUUAGUUGGGGUCCUUUUCCAUCGCGGUCUUUAUCAUCAUCAACCGCCCUCCUCUGUGCUUGGCGACAUUACUCCAUAUCAGUGCCUGUUUGGAUCGCCACCUGAUUAUGAAAAUAUUAGACUUUUUUUUCUAAGUUUAUAUGCCUGCC